AUAAAAACCAUCCUCCUCGAAGUUUGGUGAUUCAUAAUAACUUCUCGAAUCGCACGGCCCUGUGCUGGCGAUGCUUCAUUCAAAUAUCUGCCCUAUCAACUGUCGAUGGUAGGAUAGAGGCCUACCAUGGUUG
rnacentral:rRNA from 1 species